UGGGUAACCUGCCUCAAAGAGGGGAAUAGCCUCCCCGGAAAAGGGGAGAUUAAUACCGCAUAAUAUGUUUAGGUCGCAUGACUUUAACAUCAAAGGAUUUUCUUUUAGAAAUUCCACUUUGAGAUGGACCCGCGGCGCAUUAGCUAGUUGGUGAGGUAACGGCUCACCAAGGCAACGAUGCGUAGCCGACCUGAGAGGGUGAUCGGCCACAUUGGAACUGAGACACGGUCCAGACUCCGUAGGGACG
rnacentral:rRNA from 1 species